GACGAACGCUGGCGGCGUGCUUAACACAUGCAAGUCGAACGGAAAGGCCCUGCUUUUGUGGGGUGCUCGAGUGGCGAACGGGUGAGUAACACGUGAGUAACCUGCCCUUGACUUUGGGAUAACUUCAGGAAACUGGGGCUAAUACCGGAUAGGAGCUCCUGCUGCAUGGUGGGGGUUGGAAAGUUUCGGCGGUUGGGGAUGGACUCGCGGCUUAUCAGCUUGUUGGUGGGGUAGUGGCUUACCAAGGCUUUGACGGGUAGCCGGCCUGAGAGGGUGACCGGCCACAUUGGGACUGCGAUACGGCCCAGACUCCUACGGGAGGCAGCAGUGGGGAAUAUUGCACAAUGGGCGGAAGCCUGAUGCAGCAACGCCGCGUGCGGGAUGACGGCCUUCGGGUUGUAAACCGCUUUCGCCUGUGACGAAGCGUGAGUGACGGUAAUGGGUAAAGAAGCACCGGCUAACUACGUG
rnacentral:rRNA from 1 species